rfam:Dipodomys ordii contig_70750, whole genome shotgun sequence.
GGUGGCUCAGUGGUAGAGAGCUUGCCUUGCAUGCAAGAGGCCCUGGGUUCAAUUCCUCAGCACCA